UACGUAGGGGGCGAGCGUUACCCGGAUUCACUGGGCGUAAAGCGGGUGUAGGCGGCUCGGUAAGUCGGGUGUGAAAUCCCACAGCUCAACUGUGGAAUUGCGCCCGAAACUGCUGAGCUUGGGGCCGGUAGAGGGAGACGGAACUGCCGGUGUAGGGGUGAAAUCCGUAGAUAUCGGCAGGAACGCCGGUGGGGAAGCCGGUCUCCUGGGCCGCGCCCGACGCUGAGACCCGAAAGCUAGGGGAGCAAACCGG
rnacentral:rRNA from 1 species